rnacentral:lncRNA from 1 species
AUGUACUGUAUCUAUUCUGUUAUUGCAUUAAACAUUUUAUUUCCUGGUGACAUACUACAUACUACAUGCUACAUAUUACAUGCUACGUGCUACAUACUACAUGCUACAUACUACAUGCUACAUACUACAUGCUACAUGCUACAUACUACAUGCUACAUACUACAUACUAUGUGCUACAUACUACAUGCUACAUACUACAUGCUACAUACUACAUACUACAUGCUACAUACUACGUGCUACAUACUACAUGCUACAUACUACAUGCGACAUACUAUGUGCUACAUACUACAUGCUACAUACUACAUGCUACAUACUACAUGCUACAUAUUACAUACUACAUACUACGUGCUACAUACUACAUGCUACAUGCUACAUACUACGUGCUACAUACUACAUGCUACAUACUACAUGCUACAUACUACAUGCUACAUAUUACAUGCUACAUACUACGUGCUACAUACUACAUGCUACAUACUACAUACUACGUGCUACAUACUACAUGCUACAUGCUACAUACCUCAUGCUACAUACUACGUGCUAUAUACUACAUGCUACAUACUACAUACUACAUGCUACAUACUACGUGCUACAUACUACAUGCUACAUAUUACAUGCUACAUACUACAUACUACGUGCUACAUACUACAUACUACAUGCUACAUACUACAUGCUACAUAUUACAUGCUACAUACUACGUGCUACAUACUACAUGCUACAUGCUACAUACUACAUACUACAUGCUACAUACUAGAUGCUACAUAUUACAUGCUACAUGCUACAUACUACAUACUACGUGCUACAUACUACAUGCUACAUACUACAUACUACGUGCUACAUACUACAUACUACAUGCUACAUACUUCAUGCUACAUAUUACAUGCUACAUGCUACAUAUUACAUGCUACAUGCUACAUAUUACAUGCUACAUGCUACAUACUACAUACUACGUGCUACAUACUACAUGCUACAUACUACGUGCUACAUGCUACAUGCUACAUGCUACAUACUACAUGCUACAUAUUACAUACUACAUACUACAUUUUUAUAUUGUACAGUUGUAUAAUACACUGCACAUUGUAUGUUCUGUUCUUUGACUGUAUUUAUGUAUAA